rnacentral:rRNA from 1 species
GAUCAUGGCUCAGGAUGAACGCUAGCGACAGGCUAACACAUGCAAGUCGAGGGGCAUCACGGGAGUAGCAAUACAACUGGUGGCGACCGGCGCACGGGUGAGUAACGCGUAUGCAACCUACCUAUCAGAGGGGAAUAACCCGGCGAAAGUCGGACUAAUACCGCAUAAAACAGGGGCACCGCAUGGUGAUAUUUGUUAAAGAAAUUCGCUGAUAGAUGGGCAUGCGUUCCAUUAGGUAGUUGGUGAGGUAACGGCUCACCAAGCCGACGAUGGAUAGGGGAACUGAGAGGUUGGUCCCCCACACUGGUACUGAGACACGGACCAGACUCCUACGGGAGGCAGCAGUGAGGAAUAUUGGUCAAUGGGCGGGAGCCUGAACCAGCCAAGUCGCGUGAAGGAAGAAGGAUCUAUGGUUCGUAAACUCCUUUUGCAGGGGAAUAAAGUGCAGGACGUGUCCUGUUUUGUAUGUACCCUGAGAAUAAGGAUCGGCUAACUCCGUGCCAGCCGCCGC